AGUGAAGCGGCAACAGCUCAAAUUUGAAAUCUGGCCUCUUCGAGGUCCGAGUUGUAAUUUGUAGAGGGUGUUUCGGGCGCGAUGCCGGUCUAAGUUCCUUGGGACAGGACGUCGCAGAGGGUGAGAAUCCCGUACGCGACCGGCGAUCAAGCCUAUGUGAAGCCCCUUCGACGAGUCGAGUUGUUUGGGAAUGCAGCUCAAAAUGGGUGGUAAAUUUCAUCUAAAGCUAAAUAUUGGCCAGAGACCGAUAGCGGACAAGUAGAGUGAUCGAAAGAUGAAAAGCACUUUGGAAAGAGAGUCAAACAGCACGUGAAAUUGUUGAAAGGGAAGCGCUUGCAAUCAGACCGGUCCGGAGGCGAUCAGCCGCUGCUCGUUCAGCGGUGCACUCGCCUGCGAUCCGGCCAGCAUCGGUCUGGGCGGUGGGACAAAAGUCCCGGGAAUGUAGCUUCCUUUGGGGAGUCUUAUAGCCCGGGUCGCAAUGCCGCCUGCCCGGACCGAGGACCGCGCUUCGGCUAGGAUGCUGGCGUAAUGGUUGCAAGCG
rnacentral:rRNA from 1 species